GUUUAAAUAGUUUAAGAAAAAUGUUGGUUUGUGAUACCAAAGAUGUAAUUAGUUACUUUAAACC
rnacentral:tRNA from 1 species